rnacentral:rRNA from 1 species
GCUAAAAACUUAGCCCAACAAACAUGAAUUUCCCCAAAUUAACUUUUUUUAUUCAACAAACCAUUUUAACAUUUUAGUAAAGGAGAUUGAAAAAAUUUAUUGAAGCUAUAAAGAUAGUACCGCAAGGGAAUAAUGAAAUAUAUAAUGAAAAAUUUCAAGCAAUACAAAGUAAAGACUCCCCCUUGUACCUUUUGCAUCAUGGUUUAACUAGUUCAAUCAAGCAAAACGUAUUUAAGUUUGACCUCCCGAAACUAAGUGAGCUACUUCAGGGCAACUAAAAGAGCUAACCCGUCUCUGUAGCAAAAGAGUGGGAAGACCCUUAAGUAGCGGUGAUAUACCUAACGAACUUAGUGAUAGCUGGUUACUCGAGAAACGGAUCUAAGUCCAACCUGAAAAGGGCCCAGUCUAUAAAAACAACUCUACAACUUUCAGCGUAAUUCAAAUAAGGUACAGCCUAUUUGAAACAGGACACAACCUAAUCUACCGGAUAAAACUAGCCUUUAUAUAACCAAGUGGGCCUAAAAGCAGCCAUCUUUAAUAAUUGCGUCAAAGCUUAAUUAUCCUCACGCUUAAUUUCAUAAUCACAAUUUUAAUCCCCCAUCAACACCGAGUAAUUCUAUAUGACUAUAGAAAAUUUUAUGUUAAAACUAGUAACAAGAAGAAAGCCCUUCUCUUAAAUGUUAGUGUAAAUCAGAAAGGACACACCACUGAUAUUUAACACCCCCCUGAACUUAAAAUAAUAACCGACCAAGAAAACUUUAUUUUUACUAAUGUUAAACUAACACAAGAGCAUUUCAAGAAAGAUUAAAAGAAAAAGAAGGAACUCGGCAAAUAUCAACCCCGCCUGUUUACCAAAAACAUCGCCUCUUGAUCCCUAUAAGAGGUCCAGCCUGCCCAGUGACUUAGUUCAACGGCCGCGGUAUCCUAACCGUGCGAAGGUAGCGUAAUCACUUGUUCUUUAAAUAAGGACUAGUAUGAAUGGCACCACGAAGGUUAUACUGUCUCCUUUUUUUAAUCAGUGAAACUAAUCUCCCCGUGAAGAAGCGAGGAUAAGAUUAUAAGACGAGAAGACCCUAUGGAGCUUCAAACAAUAUAGUAUUUGCCACACAACACCAAAAUCUCCGCAUAAUUAACCUAUUAGGCAAUACUACUAUAAGUUUUUGGUUGGGGUGACCACGGAGCACAAUACAACCUCCACGCUGAAAGAAUCUUUUCUAAGCUAAGGACCACAUUCCUAAACAUCAACAUAUUGACACCAUUGACCCAAUAUAUUUGAACAACGAACCAAGUUACCCUAGGGAUAACAGCGCAAUCCACUUCAAGAGCCCCUAUCGACAAGUGGGUUUACGACCUCGAUGUUGGAUCAGGGCAUCCUAGUGGUGUAGCCGCUACUAAAGGUUCGUUUGUUCAACGAUUAAAACCCUACGUGAUCUGAGUUCAGACCGGAGUAAUCCAGGUCAGUUUCUAUCUAUAUAUGAGCUUCCCCCAGUACGAAAGGACCGAAGAAGCGUGGCCAAUCCUAUCACAAGCCACUGCUACUAAACUAUGUUAAAAACUUAAUAUUAUAGUAAUCUAUAAACUAGCCCUAGACAAGAGCU